AUAGCUUCAAAGGUAGAUUGGGGUGGAGAUAGUAGAAAAUACCAUCACUUAAGGGGCUCAGGCUAGAAAGUUAGGAGGAGUUAAGAUAUAGAAGAGAAAGAAUGUAGGACAUCUCUAGGCAUAUGGGUUACAAAGAGACCAGGAAGUCAGAUUUCAAGAAAGUUUAAAGAAUAGAAAUUCCCUAUGUUGGUCUUUGAGAAACUAAGAAAAAUUUGCUAGUCUAAUGUUUCUUUUUCUUUCUUUCCUUUUUUUUUUUUUUUUUUUGGUCUUUUUGCCUUUUCCAGGGCCGCAUCUGCAGCAUAUGGAGGUUCCCAGGCUAGGGGUCUAAUUGAAGCUGUAGCUGCCAGCCACAGCCACAGCCAUGCCAGAUCCCAGCCGUGUCUUUGACCUACACCAUAGCUCAUGGCAACGCCGGAUCCUUAACCCACUGAUGGAGGCCAGGAAUCGAACCUGAAACCUCAUGGUUCCUCUUCGGAUUCGUUAACCACUGAGUCACGACGGGAACUCCCAGUCUAAUGUACAAAUUAUAUGCUAAAAUACCUUCAAGCAUUCCAAGUAUUUGUUACAAGCUCUAGCUGUAGUUAACCUAAAGGUUUAAAUGGGAAUUCAGUUGAAAUAAAAUUUAAUGUUCAAGUUUAAAACUUCCUGCAGUGGCCAAGGGUUAGAUUUUAUCACAGAGGGGAGCUUUGGACCUCAACCUCCUAAAAUUUGCCUUAUCAACAUAACCAACAGGGAAAUCCAUUUCUGAGGCAAAACAAGCUAUAGAUCUGAAAUGAAAUAGAUAAUCAAAAUGCUGAAGAGGAAAAUAAAAAAAGCCAAAGGGGAAAUAGGAUAUUUUUUUUCAUGAGCAUUGCUUCCAAUGCUUUUUUCAAUAUCCCAGACCAAUUUGUAGGUGACAUAGUAGCUAUGAACAAAAGUGUUAUGACUGCUUGACUUGCUGAUUGCAAAGUGACAAAACUCAGCCCUCUACAGAGUUAAUCUGAAAUAGCGACUUUCCAAAAUUAGAACAUUUGUCGGGAGAGUUAGAAAAACGGGGGCAGGUGGAGCAAAAUAAAAGCAAGUGGAUUUUUUUAUGGUCUUGAUCUCCCUUUGCAUUUGAAAAUGUGACCACCAGAAGAGCUAUUACUAGUGUGGGUAUCACACCUGAUCCUGUCUGAUCAGCUACUUUUUGAUUUGAGUUUCUGCUUCUAGACUUUCUAGUGCUCUUCAUGGUCUGCAUGGUGCCAUUGCUGCUUAAAAGAAAUUGUGCAUUGCAGUUUUCUCUGUCUUCCGUACACCCCCAUAAAGCCCUGUGUCUCAUUUCAUCUUUCAAUCAAUCAUUGAAAUUAAGCUCACUGUUAAAACAUGUCCCUGACCACUAUCCUAGCUCAGUUUUAAAAGGUACAGUCAGUUAAACAGCCGAUUAUCUCUGCAAUAUUUUGUUGGCAUUUACGUAUCCUAGAUUAUGGAGAUUUUUCUGGAAGCAUGUCAUAGAGCUAAGUUAAUCCUUUACAAGAUUAGUAUAAGUCAUACUACAACAAUUCAGUGGGUAACGAUAUAUCAUAGUGUUACUGCCCUUCAGUAGUUUUCAGUUGAGAAGGUGAAGUAAGGUUAGAGGUGAAGAGGUCUUUAACUAUACGAGCUUUUCAAAGACCUAUAACCUCUCCAAUCAAGUUCUAAAAUAAUCUGUUUGUACUAUUUUUUAAGUGUAAUUAAUAAAUUAAUUGAUUUUCAUGGUUGUUUCCCACUUGCGAUUUUGUUACCUUUUAAACAGACUUGCUUGCUUUUAUUCAAAUUAACAAAAGUAUGUGCUAAGUAUGUGUAAGGUACUACCGAGAACACAGAGGCAUUCAAAAAUGAAUAGUCCCUCUUCUGACUAUAUGCUUAAUAAAGUAAUGAAACAGAGAUGUAUAUGACUGUAAAUAAGCAGACUCUUAGUUGGGUCCCAUAUGAGUAAUUGAUGUGAAAAUCAUGUCAUAGAAUUCAUCUUUUAAAAUUGCUUAAAUUGCCCAUGACUUUUUGUGUGCAUGGCUUUUUAAGUGUUCCACUUUCUUUCAGCAAGUCCCAAUGCAGAAGUGCAUUGUCUUCUGAACAGAGUGCUGUUUAGUUGGGUAUCAGAUGAGGUUGUUGGCGUGUUUAUAAGGUAUUUUAAUACAAAAAGCAAACAACAAAAUAGCAAAACAAGAUAGGACACAAUUAAAAACACACACUCACACAAACCAUGUUCCUAUGUUAGGUUUGAUGUGUUUAUUUGAAGGUUCACAAUUUAAAUGCUGUAUGAUGUAUCUUCACUUUAUUAAAAUACUAUGACAGCUGCCUUAGGAGAAAUGCAAACAAAGGGUUCUGGGGUUUAAAGGAGAAAAAGCUUAUACCAAAAUAGUUUAGAAAGAAACUUUUAAAGGAAAUUGAAUUUGAGAUUUUAAGAACAGUUUUGAUUUGACAAACUAAGCUUUCCAAUACAAGCAAGUGCAGUCUGGGCAAAGCACACAACUUGAACAAACAAACAAAAAAUCAAAAUGUCUAAAUGUAUUGUAACUAGCCCUUUCUAUCAGAAGUUUAGAGUAUGAAUUGAACAUUAGGAAGUGAUUAUGUCCAGAAGGGCAGGUUAGACAUUGUUAUGAGGGAGAGAAGUUUACACUGAACUGUAAAGGUCACUUGGAGGAGAGUACCUUAGUUGUGGUUUAGUUGUAUGAAUUGACUUAUACAAAACUAGAGUUCUUAUAAAAAACUAGAGAGGAGAAAGACUUGAGACGUAUUGUGCAGAAGGAUGAUGGAGAUAAGGAGAGCUGGAACUGGGAGUGUGGUAUUGAAAACAGCAAAGUACAGGGAAGACCCAAGAAAUGUUGCUGUGUGGAUUUUGUCCCCUACUGAUAAGAUUGAUACUGACAAUGGGAGAAAAAUUUGCAUCUCAAUCACACAUUAGGUCAACUACAGCUUCUUGAAUAAAGGUAGUCAGUCACUUAUUCAGGUGGGUAUAUAGGUAUAUUAUAUAGUAUAAAAUACACAGAGAUUAUAACUACUAAAUUGCUCAUAAAAUAAAACUUUAUUUUUCCCUUUUCCUAGGAUUCAUUCAAAACACGGAUAAAGUAACAGUCCAAAUGUUUAUUCCUUAGUAAUAUUUUACAUGUAUCUCAUUUGGCAGUAUCUCUACACUUGUGUCUGUAUGUUGGAUCUAACUUAUAUCUUUAAUUUUAUGUGGUAUGCAUUGUAGUCUCUUCAGUGAAAGGAAGUUAAAUUACUACAAAGGGAUUUAUAAUCCUUCUUAAGUGAUGAAAUUUGUUAGUAAGCCUUUUAAAUCUAGAAUAUAAUUAAGUUCAUCACAAUUACUUUAGAUCAAUAGUUCAUCUGUGGUUAUGGGGAAUGUGCUUUAGUAAUGUAUUAUGCCAUUAUUAUUAUUAAUUUUGUAUAUUACUUGAUAGAAAAAUAAGGUCAUUAUGAAAGUGUUCUUGCAUUCAUCCAUACAUUCAUUUAUCUAAAUCUAUCUCAUUUUUGACUUUUGAUCAGAUCAGUUGUGUUUAGUCUUUUCAAGACAAAAACCUCACUAAUUUAAAAAGAACAAGGCUUUCUCAUUUUUUAUGAAGAAUAUAAUUUCUCAUGAUUUUAUCAAGUUUUUCUUUUCCUUUCCUUUUCUUUUCUUUAGAAAUUGAUUUCAAGAUCGGAGUUCCUGUCGUGGCUCAGUGGUUAACAAAUCUGACUAGGAACUGUGAGAUUGUGGGUUCAAUCCCUGGCCUUCGCUCAGUGGGUUAAGGAUCUGGUGUUGCUGUGAGCUGUGGUGUAGGUCACAGACUUGGCUCAGAUCCCACGUUGUUGUGGCUGUGGUGUAGUCUGGCUGCUAAAGCUCUGAUUCAGCCCCUAGCCUGGGAAUUUCCAUGCCG
rnacentral:lncRNA from 1 species